UGGGGAAUAUUGCACAAUGGGGGAAACCCUGAUGCAGCGACGCCGCGUGGAGGAAGAAGGUCUUCGGAUUGUAAACUCCUGUUGUUGGGGAAGAUAAUGACGGUACCCAACAAGGAAGUGACGGCUAACUACGUGCCAGCAGCCGCGGUAAAACGUAGGUCACAAGCGUUGUCCGGAAUUACUGGGUGUAAAGGGAGCGCAGGCGGGAAGACAAGUUGGAAGUGAAAUCUAUGGGCUCAACCCAUAAACUGCUUUCAAAACUGUUUUUCUUGAGUAGUGCAGAGGUAGGCGGAAUUCCCGGUGUAGCGGUGGAAUGCGUAGAUAUCGGGAGAACACCAGUGGCGAAGGCGGCCUACGUGGGCACCAACUGACGCUGAGGCUCGAAAGUGUGGGUAGCAAAC
rnacentral:rRNA from 1 species